rnacentral:misc_RNA from 1 species
UGGUUCUGGCAUCGAUGAAGAACGCAGCGAAAUGCGAUAAGUAGUGUGAAUUGCAGAAUUUAGUGAAUCAUCGAAUCUUUGAACGCACAUUGCGCCCCUUGGUAUUCCUUGGGGCAUGCCUGUUCGAGCGUCAUUAUACCGCAGUCAAGCUCUGCUCGGUGCUGGGCGUUUGUCCUGCCUCCCCGGUGCGGACUCGCCCCAAGGUCAUUGGCGGCCCGCGUUUUGGCUUCGAGCGCAGCAGAUUUCUCUUUGCGCCUCCCCGCCAUUUGCGUGGGCGUCCAGGGAGCCCCCCAUCUAGGUUGACCUCGGAUCAGGUAGGGAUACCCGCUGA